rnacentral:lncRNA from 1 species
UACAUACAUAAGAUCUGAUCUUAAAACUCCUACAAAUAGAUUUAUAACAUGAAUUUAUAUGCAUAAACAUCUGAAUCUAAUAUUAUAUGCGUUUGAACAAGAACAAUAAUUAGUGAUAGUUCUAAUCUAGCACUUCUAGGAUUCCAAACCCAAUACCUGAGCAUGGAUAGUUGAUCUCCAUAAUUGAGAAUAUAGAUCUAGAUAUUGUCUCUGAUCGUUUAUAGUCACACAAGCGUUCAACCUCUACAGAUGAUCCACACGAAGUUCUCAGACUGAUUAGCCCUCCACGGGAGUGCUAGCUCGCGCAGUCAGCUUCUGAUGGC